rnacentral:ncRNA from 2 species
AAAAUAUAUCUGGGGUGCCGCAAGGCUGAGAUUAAACCCAUUGAACCUGAUCUAAUUAAUAUUAGUGUAGGAAGAUAUUGGAUAAUUUAG